AGUGAACGCUGGCGGUAGGCCUAACACAUGCAAGUCGAACGGCAGCACAGUAAGAGCUUGCUCUUACGGGUGGCGAGUGGCGGACGGGUGAGGAAUACAUCGGAAUCUACUUUUUCGUGGGGGAUAACGUAGGGAAACUUACGCUAAUACCGCAUACGACCUACGGGUGAAAGCAGGGGAUCUUCGGCCCUUGCGCGAUUGAAUGAGCCGAUGUCGGAUUAGCUAGUUGGCGGGGUAAAGGCCCACCAAGGCGACGAUCCGUAGCUGGUCUGAGAGGAUGAUCAGCCACACUGGAACUGAGACACGGUCCAGACUCCUACGGGAGGCAGCAGUGGGGAAUAUUGGACAAUGGGCGCAAGCCUGAUCCAGCCAUACCGCGUGGGUGAAGAAGGCCUUCGGGUUGUAAAGCCCUUUUGUUGGGAAAGAAAAGCAGCAGGUUAAUACCCCGCUGUUCUGACGGUACCCAAAGAAUAAGCACCGGCUAACUUCAUG
rnacentral:rRNA from 1 species